rnacentral:rRNA from 1 species
AAAUAGUACUUUGCAGAGAGAGUUAACAGGGCGUGAAACCGUUAAUUGGCAAACGAAUCGGAGCCACGAAGUCGUUUCGUUGUUGAGUUAGGUGGAGUUCAGUUGGCAAGCUAAAACUUGUUGGCGUAUUCUUCAUUUAACCAUCAUUGUAAGCGUACACUGCAACCAGUUAGACGAUUGGCCAUGGGCUUAGUCCCGGGGUAGUAGUAAUGUUUCAGGAUUUCGGUUCUGUUAUGUUGCUGGCCGUUGUUUGGUAGGUGGACUAUGGCCAAAGACUGACUGGCAAAGUUAGAAUAGCUUUUAGUAGCUUUAUACAGAAUGCGCAUCUCAAUACUUGGAUCUACGCAUUUAACCGUUAGGUUUAAGCUCAGCGUUUUUGAAUUCGGACUUGCUUGCUACCAGUGGGGCAACUCCUGGUGCUUGUAUAGCUUCGUCUAAUCGGGCGUUGACUUAACUUGGCGUUGUUUGAAUGUGAAGCGAUUGGGUUUAUGUAUUAGAGAUGUCGCCAUUUGAUUGGCAGUGAGUAGGUCGGCUUUCCGAACGACCCGUCUUGAAACACGGACCAAGGAGUCUAAUUAGGCAUCGAGUCGAUCGGUCUUGAAUAGGCCAGUUGAGAUUUGGAAUCCAGAAUGAAGGCGAAGAGAAAUCAUGUGAUCGUUGGGCCAACUUCAGGUCCUUCGCGCAACAUGUGCCUGUUCGUAUGCGAGUGUGUAAUAUCGUGGCGGAGCAAAGAGAUGCUUGAUUGGUACCCGAAAGAUGGUGAUGCCUGAGCAAAUUGAAGCCAGAGGAAACUYUGGUGGAGGAUUUAGAUUCUGACGUGCAAAUCGAUCGUCAGACUUGGGUUAGGGGCGAAAGACUAAUCG